UUAGCGCCAUUCUGAAUUUUCACAGUUCCCUCCCAACUAUCAAAAUAGCUCUCUUCUGUGUAAUUCUUCUCAUAUACCUAACCCUAAAAAUAAAAAUUCAACAAAUUCUGUGAAAUGGAACGAAGGUCAUUUGAGUUUGUGGUGACAAACCCUAAAUUUCUCCGUCUUGUGUUGUAUCGACUCCUUUUCUCCCAUAGAAAAUGGUAAAUGCAUCUCCAUUUAUCCUCCUCAAUCACGCCACUUGUAUUCUCCAUCUCGCUUGUUCGCGUUCGUUUGCAACCUUCCCCUCCAUUACAUCAUACUAUCCUCUCUUCGAGCGAUGCAACUCUCCUUCUCAACUGUGAUAGGUUUUCUGCUCCAUUGUGAUUUCUUCUGAUUAGCGGUUUAGAAAUUGGGGUUUCUGAUUUGGGAUUUUUGAUAUUCGGUGGCUUAGUUGAGAUUGAUGGUAGAGAAAAUUUCCUCAAUAACUUGUAGAGUUUUAGAGCUAAAAUGCGUUGUUGGUUGAAUUGUAGAGGUGUUGCUGAUUGAUUUGGUUGUGUUAUGCAUCCUCAUUUGACAUUGAACGAACACCCUGUGUGCACUAGACUUUCUUUUUGUUGGCUCAACAGAAUGAAGAUCUAUGCCUUUUGUGUCAAGGAAUACAUUGAUCCUCAUCUACGUGGAGAUUAUAAGGAGGGUGAACUAGAAUUUAGAUAUAUACUUUAUGUUCUCGCCUAUACUCCAUUAGGGAAGGAUGACGUAAUCAAUUUCAAGACCAAGAAUAUAAGAAAUUAGGUGAAGAGAUUCUUCUUUUGAGACGACUUUCAUGGAAAACUGGUAUAGGAACUUUGUUGUACAAUCAUCUUGGCUUGUUGAGUAAUUAGAUAUUUUUUCAUUAUCUUAUCAUGUUAUGUUGUAUUCAUUAUUUUACA